rfam:Sarcoptes scabiei Contig12661, whole genome shotgun sequence.
AUAAAGGUCCUUUUGAGGACCACAAAUUUUAUCGAUGAAGAGCAAU